UACGUAGGUGGCAAGCGUUGUCCGGAAUUAUUGGGCGUAAAGAGCUCGUAGGCGGUUUGUCGCGUCUGCUGUGAAAACUCAGGGCUUAACUCUGAGCUUGCAGUGGGUACGGGCAGACUAGAGUGCGGUAGGGGAGACUGGAAUUCCUGGUGUAGCGGUGAAAUGCGCAGAUAUCAGGAGGAACACCGGUGGCGAAGGCGGGUCUCUGGGCCGUAACUGACGCUGAGGAGCGAAAGCAUGGGGAGCGAACAGG
rnacentral:rRNA from 1 species